rnacentral:tRNA from 1 species
AGUCUCGAGUAUGUGUAGAUUGCAAAUCUAACGUUUGGUAUUCGCCAGCCGGGACUU